rnacentral:piRNA from 1 species
UCUGAGACUCCCAACUAAGCCCUGGGCCUA